ensembl:lncRNA
AUGUAAACCUCUGGAAGCAGAAGACUUUUUUCCUCUGUGUUGGGGCUGCAAUGUGAGAUUUCUUCAUAUCUAUUCAAGAAUACUGGAUGGGAAGAUGCUCCCUCGAAUCCUCAAGGCUAAUCCCCUGCUCCCUCUGGCAACCAUGCCACUCAAAUCCUUGCAUAAAGCCCAGUUUUGGCGGUAAUUAAACUGUUUGGCCCUUUAAACCAUGGGGGAAAAUAAAACAACCGGAAGAUCUCAGGCUCCUCCUGGCUGCAAAGACUCCAGUGGAAAUAUUGCUUGGGUUCAUAACCCUCCGAGGGCCCCAAAUCUUGUAGAAACCCAUGCAACUCUGAUGCACCCUUGCAGCAAUGCUAGUCAGGGGGUAAGGGAUGAGUCUGUGCAUAUCUUGGCUUUCUGCAAUGUGAAGGAUCAGGAUCUCCUUUCUCGUCUUCGAAUACUUGCUGGUUUCUAAGCAUGCUACUCCCAACUUACACCAGUUUUGCUGGGAAGAGCACUGGUGUUUCAUUCUGGAAGACAUCUUCAAAGGGGAAUGCACACUUCACAAACUUGAUUUUGAAGUCUUUCAGGAAGGCUUUGCAAACAAAAGCUCACAUUCCAGAGUAAGUAGAAAGUCCUCGGUUCCUGGUGGUGAAAGCUUCCUACCAGAAUUAUUCCCAGAGGCAGUAUAGACUUUGCAUUUUGCCUCAUCUAAAUGCAUUAGGAGGAGUAUUAAAUUUCACAUGUGCUGCAUGUUGAUGUAAUUCUCCUGACACGUCUGUUUGCACCAUUAUGAAAUAAGGGAUUUCCUUUCCCUUUCUUUCCGCAUUUGCCCUGCUCUCCAGAGAUCUCCAGGAUAUGAUCCAUUGGCAUACCAGGAUUACACUUUUUACACAGAGGACUUAAAAAAAGCUUCGUCAUUGGGCUAAGAGAGGUCUCGGGACAGCACCCUGAAUUAGCAGCGCUUGACUGAACUGUCAACCUUCCGUUGGAAGAGAUCCAUUAAUCUUCUGUGUCAUACCCCCACCCCGCUUCAGCUUGGCUCUGUACGCUUACCGGGAUGAGCACUGGGAUGUGGGAGGUUCUUGAGCAUCUUUUC